UCUGGAGGACAGGUGCUGCAUGGCUGUCGUCAGCUCGUGUCGUGAGAUGUUGGGUUAAGUCCCGCAACGAGCGCAACCCUUGCCUUUAGUUGCCAGCAGUUCGGCUGGGCACUCUAAAGGGACUGCCGGUGUUAAACCGGAGGAAGGUGGGGAUGACGUCAAGUCCUCAUGGCCUUUAUGACCAGGGCUACACACGUACUACAAUGGCCGAUACAAAGGGCAGCGACACUGCGAGGUGAAGCCAAUCCCGUAAAAUCGGUCUCAGUCCGGAUUGGAGUCUGCAACUCGACUCCAUGAAGUUGGAAUCGCUAGUAAUCGUGGAUCAGCAUGCCACGGUGAAUACGUUCCCGGGCCUU
rnacentral:rRNA from 1 species